AGAGUUUGAUCCUGGCUCAGAACGAACGCUGGCGGCAGGCUUAACACAUGCAAGUCGAGCGCCCCGCAAGGGGAGCGGCAGACGGGUGAGUGACGCGUGGGAAUCUACCCAUCUCUACGGAAUAACGCAUGGAAACGUGUGCUAAUACCGUAUACGUCCUUCGGGAGAAAGAUUUAUCGGAGAUGGAUGAGCCCGCGUUGGAUUAGCUAGUUGGUGGGGUAAAGGCCUACCAAGGCGACGAUCCAUAGCUGGUCUGAGAGGAUGAUCAGCCACACUGGGACUGAGACACGGCCCAGACUCCUACGGGAGGCAGCAGUGGGGAAUAUUGGACAAUGGGCGCAAGCCUGAUCCAGCCAUG
rnacentral:rRNA from 1 species